UAUACUGUUACAGGUGUUUUUUAAAAACAUUAGCCAUUUAAUAAAUUUAUCAUGAACUUCAUAUUAAAAUGCCUACUUAGAUUCUCUCAAAUGUCUUCCUAAAAAGGACAAAACCCAGGGGCAUUGAAGUUCAAGACUCUAGAGUGGUUUGGGAUCAUCUGUUCGUUGUUUUGUUUAGGGGUUUUUCUCCCUCACCCCACCCCUCAAAAAAGGAUGAUUUCCUAAUGAUUUCUUCACUCUAUGUCCCUGGCUGGCCUAGAACUCAUAGAAAUCCACCUGCCUCCGCUCCUGAGUGCGGGGAUUAAAUGUGUAUCACCACAUCUGGCUCACCUGGUCUUUCUAAUAUCAAACUCCAAUUGCAAGUAUUUUUAAUGAUCAUAGGGUCACAGGGGCCAAAGCUGUAUACAUGUGUAACUCUGAGAGCUCAAUAUUGUAGUUCUUUUAUUCACAUGACCUUUUAAACAGCCAGCUUGACUGGAAUUAAUUAGCCAGCUUGGUACAGUGUAAAAAGAGAAAUACAAAACUAAUUUUCUUUAGUAAGUCUUUUCCAAUCAGAAACUAUGUCCACAGAGUCCAAGGACAGUCAGGGCCCUUCUCGGGGCUUCUCCUAUGCUGUGCUCUUGCGUACUUAGAGUCUUACCUCCAUGGUCUCCUUUCUCUGCUUCUGCAAAGAGCAUUUGAAAAAAAAAAACAUAUAUACGUACACACACACACACACACACACACACACACAUGGUUUUUGUAUAUGUAUAUAUAUAUACACACACACACAUGUAUGUGUAUGUAUAUAUAUAUAUAUGAACAGAAGAUGAUAGGAGGAAACUUAGCACAGUCACUCACUAGCUCUGACUCCUAGUGGAGCUGUAUCCAUCCAUUGAGAUUAUACUGAUCUGUUGUUUAGCUUUCUUUUAAAUCAUCACCUGGUAAGACACUGGGCAACAGCAAAAGUUUUGGUUUUGGUUUGGUUUUUUUUUUUUUUUACUCCCAGGAAUAUAAUUUAUCAAAUCAAACUAUUUUGCUUACCAAAGAACUAUGUUUUUAAUAUCACGGGUAAUAGCUAAGCAUCAAAACUGGGCUCUUAUUUUACCAACAAGAAACAUCAUGUGACUGAUGGCUGGGGUUUGUCUGUGUCUCCAAGGCCGAAUUGCAUUCUUUUACUGGAAAAGUUCAUUCAAGCUAGGUUUUAGAAAAUACAUUCCUUUUAAGUGAACACACCUUCUAAAUUGCUUUAAGUACUAUUGAAUAGCCUAAAAGAUGGACUCCGCAGUGCUUUCUAGUGUCCCCACCUAUGUGACAAAUGCAAAACUCAUUCUAGAGUUAAAAUGACUGAUUUUUGGUUGAUAUUAUCUGCUUCCAUUUUUAACUUGGGAAUUAAUAUGUUGCUAGUAAAUACUGGUUUGUACGGUGUCUAGUUUGUAAGUGUAAGUUAUCAGACCAUAAUAUAGUGACUCUAUGUUGUUGAGAAUGUAUUUUUAUUUAAAUUUUAUUUUCUUAUGAAGAGUAUUAUAAAAAUUAAAAGCUUUUGUAACUGUCAUUUGAAAAUAACUCAAAUAAAGUACAAGAAGCCU
rnacentral:lncRNA from 1 species